GGGAGGGGCCAAAGGUCAGAGGAGCCUGAGGACAGGUGCCUGGGAGGAGUGGCAUUCUGGUCCCAUGGCUCCCUCCCAGCUGCCAAGCCCUUUCCUUGCCCCACCCCAGGACUGGUGCCGCUUCCCAAGUGCUGAGCCUUAGCUCAGGUUUCUCCCCUGAGUGCCCAACACCUCCCACACCACGUGUCUCCCCAUUUCAGGCUUCCCGAAAUAGCCUCCACUCUCCCAUUUUUAAGCCAGCACCCAGGCUCCUCCUGGACAUCCGGUGUCAUCCACGCCCAGCAUACCACAGCAACAGGCUGGAUCCACUAAGGAAUUAUUCCUCGUCCCCAGACAGAGGGGCAGCUGUGCCCCACUGUGAUCCAAAACCCAACCAACAGGGUCCUAAAACCUGUGGUCCCCAGACACUCAGCCGCUUGGGUAGUUGGGAAUCCUGAGCCCUAGAGGGAAGGUUGACUGGGCCAUGACCCCCACCACCCCACAUACACGGGGUUUGAUUUGUGUUAUGUUUAAGGUAGUCUUGCCUGUGCAACUUAGGCUUGUCUCGAACUUGCAAUCCUCUUAGCUUGACCCCUUGCUGGGAUCUCCAGGCCCUGACCCCUUGCUGACCUUUUAAAUUAUUUUUUUUUGGAUGUGCAUGUGUAUGCCUGAGGCCUCCACACAUACACGGAGGUCAGAGGAGGAUUUCGAGUGUCUUCCUCUACCCUCCACCUUAGUCCUUAGCUAUCGCUGAACUGGAAGGUGUUGCAGCUGGGUGAGUUCCCAGUGUCUGCCUCCGCUGUUCCGCUCCCCGUACACAUACUGGAGCUAUGGGCACACACAGCCCCCUGGGUUUUCAUGUGGGUGCUGUGGGUUUGAACUCCAGUCCCAGGGUCUGGACAGCAAUCACUCUUACCUACUGCGGCAUCCCCCAGACCCUUGCUGACCUUCGGACAGAGUCUUCUGCUCUCUGGACAGGACUUUGCCCACACAGGGUUGCUCUGAAGAACCUAGGCCCAUGCACUGGGAAUCUAGCUUUCUAGUUGAAGGACAGACACCCCCGUGCCCAGGGGAGCAAGCACAGUUCCUAAGCUAGGGGACAGAGGAACCCUGUCAGCAGUCCCUCCCUCUGCCAAUGGCUCCCCACUGUCUAGGAGAACAACCCCCCCCCAGAGGUGCCCAGUUUUGCUGUUCGAACCCUCUGCAAUCCCCUUGGAGCCCUAGGGCCCUGACCACACCUUUCUAGGUCCUGAAAAUUAUUUACAGUGAGUCUAUACCCUGACACAGUUACAAAGAGCCUGAGCUGCCCAGAGCCCCAACACUGUAUUGUCUCUUCACACACACCUCCAAAUUGCUCUCGAAGGCCACCCUGAGAGGAUCUUAGGUGGUCCCCAGUGAGAUGGGAGCCUUGGAUUCCUCCACAGGACAUUCUCUGGCCCUCAUGAGAAAGUCACCUGGCCAGUCAGCAGUCUGGGGCACUCAAGGCUACUCUAGCGGCCAGGAGACCUCCUGCCAGCUUCUGUCAGCACUGCCAACUGAGACCAGGCCGGGCCACCAUCCCAGGUUUUGCUCAGAGGCAGCACAGAAACCUGACAAGCGUGUUUUCACCAACCUGAGAGUUUCGGCCCCUCUGGGGGACUGUUUGUGUUUCGGGUCAUGUUGUCGGCUGGCCCCACCCCCUCUUCCUGUGCCAAGUUGACAUUCCCUAGGCCACCGGACCUCUAAGAAGUGGCAGUUCCUUCUCUGAGCUGCCCAUGGGAAUCUGCUGUUCCUGUGGCAGACUCACAGUGCUGCGUGGAAAGCAGAACUUGCCAGCAACGAGCUUGGAUGUUCAUCGGAACAAUUCCCAGCACAGUGUUAGCUGUGUGGCCUGACUCUGCACUCUGCUUACAGUAAAAGGUGAAAUGGAAAAAGUAAA